ACCACCCCAGGAAAACCGAGCAGUUAAAACCAUCUCGGUGUGACUUUCAGCUCUGCAGUGCAACCAGCAAGCCCCAGGCACAAGACAGCCUUGCAGAGCGGCUCCUGGUUCCAGCAUUUACRCCUGGGAACUCUCUGUAGAUAGAUAAAAAAGACUCUGUAGAUAAGGAGAAGGAAACCAGUGGGGCAAUGAGAGAUUGCUCUCCAAGUCUUUGCCCCGUUGCAGGUUUGCUCUGUGACCCUGAGAGCAGCAAGGAGCCCAGGGAUAUGUCUCUGCUCUGCGAAACUCUCUGCAGAUAUGUUACAAAUAGUCAUGCUCUGUCUACUUUCUGUCCGUCUGGGCUGAUUUUCUCUCUCUUCUCCCUCACWCUGAGGUGGGCAGGUGCAGUGACGUCGUGGGUCUUGGGCGAUCCCUGGGGACACAGCCGAGGAAGCUGGACCUGCCACCCUUUCCCUCCAGCAGCACCAGUUCUUCUCCCAGCACUGCAAACCUGCGAAUGGGUCCAGAUAAUCUCUCACAGCUGUGGAGCUCGUACAACCCCAAUCAUUUUUCUUCUUCUUUUCCUCUCUACGUGAGCUUGCUUUCUGCCUCCCCAGAUCUCUGCAGCCCCCCAGGGGGGAAGCUGCGCGAGGGCUUGCAGAGAAGCUGAGGGGUUAUUGCCCUUUCCCUUUUUUACCAGCCACAGCUGGAUGAUGUUUGUGAUUCUCCUAUACACUACCCCACACAGCAUAGCAAGGCUAUUUUUGUUCUCUCUUCACUGCUUUAAAGAAGCUGGUGAGAUGGGUGUGGGGAAUUGGGGCCCCAGGCAGUCUCACAGUUUCUGUCCCUGCUGCCAUGUUUCACCCCGGCCUGAGACUGCACUUUGCAGGUCUUCUCCUUGAAAGGGAGACCAAAUUUCCUCAUGCUUUUGUCUUUUAAAGAGAGAUUAUUAUGCAAACAAGAGGAAUUGUGCACCUUUUUUGUGUGUUUCUUAUCUAAAUAGCAAUUACUAUUCCCUUAAAACUGCCCAGCAGACUGUGCUGAGAGGAACUCAGACCAAAAUACUACUGUACAAAAGGUGAAGCAUAACAUGAAAAAGGAAGGAGCUACACUUCAUGGUUUGCCUUACUUCAAAUGAGAGCAAUUCUAGCAUGUGUUGACUAUGCAAAGCAUCAUGCAUGUGAGCAAGUUAUGCUUUUGAGUGGUAUUUAUUCCUGAAUGUAAGCGUUUGUCAGGUGGCGGACUUCUUUGGAAAGUUUAUUUUAGGAGAUUGAUGAGUAAUCUGUUUCCAACCCAUCUCCUCUUCUGUUAAAGAAAGGGCAAACAUCUGAUAUCUUUGAAGGGAGCAUGACCAGCUUCCUCAUUCUACUGCUCACAAGAAUUGUUAUUUCCCACACCUGGACACUAUUUUAUCUUUCACGCAGAAGCUCAUUUUAUUUCUGCUUUGAAAAGCUGAACAUGUGCAGGAGGGGGAAGAUCUUGCCCUAACUAAGCAGGUAUUCACAAGGCUGUUUCUUCUUCUUGAGCGUUGCAAAGCACCACAGAAGACAAGAGAGGAACUCAAAGGGAAGGGUAAUGCAGCUGGUGAAGCGGGCU
ensembl:lncRNA